rnacentral:rRNA from 1 species
UACGUAGGCAGCGAGCGUUGUUCGGAAUUACUGGGCGUAAAGAGUGUGUAGGCGGUGCUCUAAGUUCGGUGUGAAAUCUCCUGGCUCAACUGGGAGGGUGCGCCGGAAACUGGAGUGCUUGAGCGUGGGAGAGGAAAGCGGAAUUCCUAGUGUAGCGGUGAAAUGCGUAGAUAUCAGGAGGAACACCUGUGGUGUAGACGCUUUCUGGACCAUAGCUGACGCUGAGACACGAAAGCGUGGGUAGCAAACAGG